UGGGGAAUCUUCCGCAAUGGACGAAAGUCUGACGGAGCGACGCCGCGUGAGUGAUGAAGGCCCUUGGGUCGUAAAGCUCUGUCAUCAGGGACGAACGGUCACGUCAGGAAAUGGGCGUGAAUUGACGGUACCUGAGAAGGAAGCCACGGCUAACUACGUGCCAGCAGCCGCGGUAAUACGUAGGUGGCGAGCGUUGUCCGGAAUUAUUGGGCGUAAAGCGCGCGCAGGUGGGAUCUUAAGUCUGUUCUGAAAGUUCGGAGCUUAACUCCGUGAUGGGAUGGAAACUGGGAUUCUUGAGUAUCGGAGAGGAAAGCGGAAUUCCCCGUGUAGCGGUGAAAUGCGUAGAUAUGGGGAGGAACACCAGUGGCGAAGGCGGCUUUCUGGACGAUGUCUGACACU
rnacentral:rRNA from 1 species